rnacentral:lncRNA from 1 species
AUACGGGGCAGUCGGGUGGGGCUCACACACUCUUAAUCCCCAUUUUACAGAUGAGGGAACGGAGGCCCAGAGAAGCGAAGUGACUCGCCGCAAGUCCCACGGCUGACAAGUGGCAGAGCCGGGAGUCGAACCCGUGACCACUGACUCCGAAGCCCGGGCUCUUUCCACUGAGCCACGCUGAAUAAUCGGGUCAGCUAUGGUGACCUGGGGUUCACGGUCUAAAGGGGAGUGAGAAUGCACAUUUAAUCCCCGUUUUUCUCCGAGGCACGGAGCAAAUACGUGACUUAACCUAGGUAAGUGGUGGAGCCGGGGUGAGAACCGAGGUCUUGUAACUCCCAGCGCCGGGCGCUUUCCACGCGGCUUCUCUCCAACCCAGUCAAGCUUUCCUGAAGCCCUUCGUACCUGUGGGCGAAUGCAGUAGGAAUUGCUCUGGGGGCAGCUGCCCUUCUUGAUCGAGAAGGAAGAAAAUAAGGAGCCUGCAGAGUAUGUGAAUGGAAAAGAGGUUCUUGGCCACGUUUUCAGAUAGGAAAGGUGGACGUUUUGACGGAUAAUGGCGCUAAUCGGGCUGCUGAUUGAGGAGAUCUGACUUUUUGGACGGGAAUGUGAACGUUCACGAUUGGGGCAGCUCGGCUGUCGAGAAGGAAUUAUCCACAGGAAAAAAGAAUCGCUUCUGUAAAGUCGUCACCGUUUACGAGAGCCACAAAACUACUUUUUCUGGCCUCUUUCAAAUCAGAGGUUGAAUUCUGGUGUGCAGACUCUAGGAAAGGGAGUCGAUCCGAACGAGAGGAUGAAGAGUCCUUAAUGGAGCUUGGAAAAACAACGAAUACCUAUAAAUCAAAGAAGAAAAGCCGUUUUUGAUGCAUUUGUCUGAGAGUUAUUGUCAUUCCCAAAACAGAUGUCCCCCGGUCUUCUCAGAGACUCCUUCGCUAGAGAACAAUGCCGACC